rnacentral:rRNA from 1 species
ACUCCUACGGGAGGCAGCAGUGGGGAAUAUUGGACAAUGGGCGCAAGCCUGAUCCAGCCAUGCCAGCGUGUGUGAAGAAGGCCUUCGGGUUGUAAAGCACUUUCAGCGAGNAGGAAAGGUUGUAGCUUAAUACGCUGCAGCUGUGACGUUACNCGCAGAAGAAGCACCGGCUAACUCC